CCUGUUUGUUUGCCUUAUAUGUUCAACUUACAUCGAUUCGCUGUUGCGGAUAAAGCACAGGAGGCCGUUUCACCUGUAAGGGCGGGUCGUUAACCGCUCGUUCUACCCACCUCUCCGAAAGCCAUUACCCUAUUGUAACUAAUUCCUAACCGGCAUCACACUUGUCUCCACCAGCGUCCACCUGGCAUGGAGGCUCAAGCCAGUAACACGGCCAAAAAAAUUUUAAGCGGUCGAGUUUUUGUCGACAGCGAAACGCAAGCCGCGGCCGCAAGCCGCGUUCACAAUCCUCAAUCCAUGCUCCCGAGUUCCUGCUAUCCAGAUAUCGUAUGUAGCUCCUGCAUUGAUUCGGGAUUGUUACAACAUGAAAUUCAGGCCGUGUUCCUUCCUAGCUGGUUCACAGAGUGCCUUGCGAGCCUUAUGAACUCAAUUGCUGUUUGUCACAAUUGCGCAUUACUUUUUACAUUUGACUUUGCAGUUGUGCACAACGCACUUGUCCAUAUAGAUUGGCAUUUGCUUGUGGAAGCAGCUUCGUCUC
rnacentral:lncRNA from 1 species